GAUGAACGCUGGCGGCGUGCCUAAUACAUGCAAGUCGAGCGAACGGAGGAGAAGGUUUCUUCUCUGAUGUUAGCGGCGGACGGGUGAGUAACACGUGGAUAACCUACCUAUAAGACUGGGAUAACUUCGGGAAACCGGAGCUAAUAUCGGAUAAUAUUUUGAACCGCAUGGUUCAAAAGUGAAAGACGGUCUUGCCGUCACUUAUAGAUGGAUCCGCGCUGCAUUAGCUAGUUGGUAAGGUAACGGCUUACCAAGGCAACGAUGCAUAGCCGACCUGAGAGGGUGAUCGGCCACACUGGAACUGAGACACGGUCCAGACUCCUACGGGAGGCAGCAGUAGGGAAUCUUCCGCAAUGGGCGAAAGCCUGACGGAGCAACGCCGCGUGAGGGAUGAAGGUCUUCGGAUCGUAAACCUCUUUUAUCAGGGAAGAACAUCUGUGUACGAAACUGGGCACAUCUUGACGGUACCUAAACAGAAAGCCACGGCUAACUACGUG
rnacentral:rRNA from 1 species